UGUGUGUGUAUGUGUGUGCAUGUAUAUGUGUAUGUGUGUAUGUAUGUGUGUUGUAUAUGUACGUGUAUUCACACUGUGUGCAUGUGCAUAUGUGCUUUCACACAGUGUGCAUGUGCAUGUGUGUGUUCACACUGUGUGCAUGGUCAUGUAUGUGUGUUCACACUGUAUGCAUGUGCAUAUGUAGAUGUCUUCUUUAGUCACUCUCCACUUCAUAUUUUGAAACAGGAUCUGUCCCUGAACCCCUAAUUUGACAACUUCAGUUGUCUGGCUUUUCUGCUUGUCCUGGGGAAUCCGGUCUCUACCUCCCACACUGAGGCUACAGCCAAAAGAAAUCAAGGCUUGGUCCAAGCUCUCCUGCUUCUGGUGCCCACACACUGGCUUCUGGGCACUUGAAGAUCUCACCCAGUCCUUCUCUGGACCCGGAGACAACACCAAGAGGAUUCCAGAUCCAAGCCACACUCCAACCAGCCGACUUGGCUAGAGCCCUAGAGCCCAGCUGGACCCUGCCAACAAGAUUAUGGCCCACUUUCAGAGCUGCCCCAUACCAUCAGUUCCAAUUGCCCCAGGGCCAGUCCUGAUCUAGGACGGAAUCGAGGCCAUUUCAGGGGUAGCGGAGGUCUGCGUAGUUCAUCAAUGGCCAAUCUCACAGGCCCACCAUGGCUAUGCCAAGCCAGCCAGAAGCAGCCAAGUCCUGGCUCUGAAGUAAGAGUACAUGUGCAAGGACCACUUCCCCACAGGCAUCUGACCUUGGGCGUGGCCUUGCUCUGACCCUUAUCGGCUGGCAGAACUCAGCUACAAGGAAGUCAGCACAGACCAGACACAGGAUCCCCUGUCCAUCACUGAAUCCACAGACUCCCCUGGCCCUCUUUCCUGGGGUUGGGAAGGAAAAGAGUGGAGAGCUGGCCAGUCUCUCCACCCAACACCCCAGGCAUUGUUAGAACCAGAAGUCAGCCAAGGCAUCAUCUCAAAAUUCCCAUCUCCACACAUUUGUGAACAGAUCAUUGCUCAUACUGCCCUGCUAGGGUGCUGAAGCCCCACCUAAGUAAAACUACAGGGGGGAGUCAGUUACAAUGUAUCACAACCUUAGGCCCGUGGAUAACCCUGUUCUUAAGUAUUUGUCAGGGUCUACACAGGCUACGGCACACUGAAGACCUUUGAGCUCCUAUAAGGACAGGUAAUUUGUAGCAGAACCAUCAGAGGGUUGUUUGAGGGAAGAACCAAGAGCCUGUCAGCCAGUGGCCAGGAGGGGAUGAGAGAUAAGCUAAGGAAAGGCCCCUGAGGUCCCAGAGCAGGGACAGGAGGGCAGGCUGGGAGCUGGGGAGAGAGAGGGAGAAGGCACACCAGGGCCUGCUAAAAGAGACCAUGGCUUGUGGGUAGGGAUGAGAUUCUAUAGGGUAUCUGGAUUUCAGAGGGUCGGAGGCCUGGGUUCUAACCCCAGUUCCUACGGUCCACUUCCGAUGACCAGGAGGAAAUGGCCCAGUGUGUACUCUGGUCUGUGAGUGACCAGGAUAACUACAAAGAUGCUAGGGGGCUGGAAUCCAAGGCCGUGUGGCUAGAAAACCAACCCAUUAAGCAGACUUCAGACUACAGGAGUCUGGGGAAGGCCCCUCCACCCCACAUAAUAUCAGCAUUUAAAAAUGAAAGAAAUCCCAGAGACCCAUCCCCUCUUUGUGACCUCCACACAGAGUCUGGGGAGAACAUUAUGAUGAUGCUGGUGGGGACUUGGCCCCAAAUACACCCAAAGGAAGCAGCCUGGCAGCUCGCAAGCACCCCAGUGCAAAGCCAUGGUGUGAGUCCCUCCCUCGUCCCAUGCUGCAGGGUUACCCCACCAGUGAGGGCCUGGACAGUGGCUCCAGACAUUUCCUUCCUCCCAGGCAGAGCCUGCCAGGCUGCUAGGUCCAACCUAAAGUCCCCUCCCCUUCACAGAGCUGCUUGUAGCCUCUGCUGGCCUGGCCACACCCACCCAAACAGCUGCAUGUCUGGGUGACAUGAAAUCAGUCUCUCCCCUACAGGCUUCGGGGAAGCAAGAGCAGAAGGUAUAAUAGCAUGUUUACCAAACAUACAUGAGACUCAGGUUCCAUCCCCAGUACACACAUACCACCACCACCACCAUUAUCACCAUCAUCACCACCACCACCACCACCACCAUUAUCACCACCACCACCACCACCACCAUCAUCACCACCACCACCAUUAUCACCACCACCACCACCACCUCCAUUAUCAUCAUCACCAUCACCACCACCAUCACCACCACCAUUAUCACCACCACCACCACCAUUAUCACCAUCAUCAUCACCACCAUCACCACCACCACCACUAUCACUAUCACCACCACCACCACCAUCACCACCACCACCACUAUCACUAUCACCACCACCAUCACCACCAUCACCACCACCACCACCACACAACCACCACCACCAUCAUCACCAUCAUCAUCAUCACCACCACCACCACCAUAACCACCAUCACCAUCACAUCUUAAAUAAAAACCCAAGCCUAUCUGUACACCUGUAAUUCCAGGGUUGGGGAGACAGAAGCAGGAGGAUGCCUGGAGCUCACUGACCAGUCCAUCUAGCAGACUCUAUGAGCUCCAGGUUCAGGGAGAGAUGCUGUCUCAAAGAGUAAGUUGGAGAGUGAUGGAGGAAGAAGCAUAACACACAGGUGUACAACCGCGCCCAUAGGAACACACACAUACUCAUAUACACUCAUAUAUUCACAUUCACACACAUUCCCACACUCACACACACCCACACACUCACACACUCACGCAUUCACACUUACACAUAUUCACACUCACACACAUUUACACACUCACACUCUACAUUCAUAUAUACACACUCACACAUAUACACACUCAAACAUACACACUCUAUGCACACACAACAUAUUCACACUCACAAACACACUCAUACACGCAUUUACACACAUAUACAUGCUUACACAUACUCAUACACACACUCACACAUACACCUUCAUAUAUACACAAACACACAUUCAAACUCACACAUACUCAGCACACAUUCACACUCUCAUAUAUACACUCACACAUACACACAUUUACACACUCACUCACACAUUCAUAUAUACACACACACAAACACACAUAUUCACACACUCAUACACAUUCACACAUACACACACUUACACAUAUAUUCACACACUACACACACACUGUUGGGAAGGAAAAAAAAGAUAACCACAAGAAAAGAGCUUUCAAGAAUAACUAACACGCAGUAAGACCUCGGGGAGUGACAACCAAGACAAACAGUGUCAUAACUGGGGGCGGGGCCUCUGCUGUACAAGAACAGCUCUGCACUGUAUAAACACAGUACAUACAAUUGCACAAUUAUGUCCGAAGUCUUACACAGUGUUUGCUGUGUUCAGAUGAGCAUUGGGUUACCGCAGCUCUGGCUGCCUCCAGACUCUCCCCUCAGCCAAGAACUGCAUCUCACCCCCAUUUCGUGGCUGAGGAAGUGGAGUGUCCCUGGCCGCCUUGCCAAGGCUGGUCUGUGUGCCCCUGGGGCCCUUUAGGCCAGAACGUUUCGAUUCCAUUCCUCCUAAAAGAACUAGCAAAAAAAAAUCUCCUGGAUUGAAGUCUCAAAUGAUUCAUUCAACAAACUGUGACAGAAACAAUUUGCUUCAAAGAAGCCAUGCUCUCUGGAGAAUCUGUGGCUCUGUGUCACCCUCGUGGACAAGUGGAUUCAAGAACAAACCAUCGUGAACGUGGGCAAAGAGGAGACAUCAGUAAGUGUGGGGACUCUGGUCGAUGUCAAGUCCUCCAAUUGGGAUAAGGACUAAUUUGAAGAGGAAUUACAAUUUAGGUAAAAUUAUGGGGAAAAAAAUCUUUAAAAACAAAGUCUUUGCUGACAGAGUAGAGUGUGACAGGCCAACUUGUGAUUCCUGCAACCAAGGAAGGUGGGGGGUGGGGGACGUGGCCCAGUGGUGCACACCUCCAGGGCCCAACCCAGAAUGAAAAAAAAGUCAUUUCAAGUAAAGCAUGCACAUUGGGUAAUUAUGCCUUUCACUUCUUCUGCUUUGCUUUUAGCUUUGAACAAAACAUAAAUGGAUAAAAUCAAAUCUUUGUCCCCUUCCUGAAACCUGGAGGAGGCCUUUGGUUGUGGUGCUAGGAGCUACUAGUGCCUAGGCAUGCUAGGAGAAUGCCCUCUGGUGCCUUUAGAAAGGUUUGUUUUCAGAACACACCCCUUUGUGCCCCCUAAAAGAGGGUCAUACUCUGUAACCCAGGCUGGCACAGAACUCACCAUAAAGUUCAAACUUGCCUCCAAUUCACUGCAACCCUCCUGCCUCAGCCUCCAGAGUACUGGGAUCUUGGGGAUAGGGAAGGGCACACUGGCCCCUGAAUCUCUAAUUGUUCUUCUAAGGGAUUUACACUUUGGGGGUGUUAUUGUGGAAUUUCCUUCUUAGUUUUGCGUAUUAAACUGCAAUUGAUUUAUUUCUUUAUGUCCCUCGUGGUUAGUGUCGUCAACUGAACAGACUCUAGAAUCACAGGGAGGCUGGAGAGAUGAUUUGGUGUUUCAGAAUACCAGCUGUUCUUCCAGAGGACCAGGGUUCAAUUCCCAGCACCCACUUGUGGCUCACAACCACUAUACCUCCAGUUCCGGGGAUCCAGCGCCCUCUUCUGACUUCCCUGGGAACUGCAUGCACGCGGCACACAGACACGCAGACACAGCACCCGUACGCAUUAAAUAAUUAACUCUAGAUUCAUCUGGGAGGCAAGCCUCUGAGCACACCUGGGAGGGAGUCUCCUGAUUGCUUUAAUUGACUAGGAAGAUCCAUUUUGAUUGUGGACUUGGCACCCUGGGCUGUAUACAACGGAGGAAGGGUAGCUGAACAUUAUUUACUCAUUGUCCUCUGCUUGCUGACUGGGGACACCAUGUGACCAUCUGCCUCAAGCCCCUGCUGCCUUGGCCACCCCUCCUGACAAAUCUUACACUUGAACUAUAAACCAAAUAAACUCUUUUCUCCCUUAGGCUA